AGUUUUAUGAAGUAGUAUAAAAUGAAUUCUGCCCAAUGAUAUAAUUUUUAAUGGCCGCAGUACUUUAACUGUGCUAAGGUAGCAUAAUAAUUUGGCUUUUAAUUAAGGUCUGGUAUGAAAGGAUUUUAUGGGUAAUAACUGUCUUUAUUUAACUUUUAAAAAUUUACUUAAAAGGUGAAAAUUCCUUUAAUUUUAAAAUAGACGAGAAGACCCUAGGAGUUUUUGUUUUGUUGGGGCGACAUUUCAGUAAAUAACCUAAAGGAUAGAUUUAACAGUUAUAUCAAUUAUAAAUAAACUACCCUAGGGAUAACAGCAUAAUAAUAAUUUUGUUUGUGACCUCGAUGUUGGACUAGG
rnacentral:rRNA from 1 species